GACGAACGCUGGCGGCGUGCUUAACACAUGCAAGUCGAGCGGUAAGGCCCUUUCGGGGGUACACGAGUGGCGGACGGGUGAGUAAUGCUUAGGAAUCUGCCUAGUAGUGGGGGAUAACCCGGGGAAACUCGGGCUAAUACCGCAUACGCCCUACAGGGGGAAAGCGGGGGACUUUCGGGCCUCGCGCUAUUAGAUGAGCCUAAGUCCGAUUAGCUAGUUGGUAGGGUAAUGGCCUACCAAGGCGACGAUCGGUAGCUGGCUGAGAGGACGACCAGCCACACUGGGACUGAGACACGGCCCAGACUCCUACGGGAGGGCAGCAGUGGGGAAGUAUUGGACAAUGGGCGCAAGCCUGAUCCAGCGAUGCCGCGUGUGUGAAGAAGGCCUGCGGGUU
rnacentral:rRNA from 1 species